GUCGGUAUCGAUUAGGGGUUAAAUCACUUCGUUGUGGUCGGUCGUAAAACGGCAUAGCUCCGAAGAGCCACAGGUUCGAUUCCUGUUACCGACA